UUGAGAUCUUGAGACGAUGUCGCUGCGGCGGCACGCUACAGCUGAACUCUCCGAGUACGCCGUGUUAAACUCUCAACGAAAAUACGUUUUACGCAAAGUUGCAUUCUUUAAAUAUUAUACUGUGCAUUAAAAAAUCGAACAAAAAAACGUUGAAAGCACUUUCAACACGUCUUACACUUCAAGUAGCCACAGCCAAGCCGGCCAAGCCUGGCCACUGCGUAGAAGCAGCAGCACACGCUCGAAAACGCCGUACUCGGGUUGCUCUGCGCUGUACGGUGCGCUCACUCCCGUGUUGUGAGACAUUCGAACUACCAACGGCCAGUUGCAACAAUGACGUCACAGGCAAGUCUUUUUUUUACUUAUUGAACGCAUCAAAUUCUACGUCACCAAACGCGAUACUAUCGCCUUUUGCGAUCGUUUGAGAAUACGGGCCCUGGGCACUUUUUCUCCCUGAAGACGGACGCUGGCCUAGGUACUGAGGAGGAGAACGCCCCUAGCCCCCUAGCUCCACUUGUCCCUAAACGGCGGAGUAAACGCGCUUCGCGCCGGUGUCAACUCACGUCAAGGUAAGUUCUUGCAUUCCUUGUUCUGCGAUGUUUUCUACGCGCGACGAUGAAAUUUCGCCACGCAGUACGCGUCUCACUUAGAACUAUUUUCAUCGUGACAGUUUUUGUAUCUUCUUGUAGCCUGGGAACACCGUUCAAUUUGUGCGACAGAAACUUAUGCAGCUUCCGUCUCUCACGCUAUUGUAUGGAAACGGUUGAAUACCGCUUGUAGUUACUUUCUUGCCCUAGAGUUGAACUAGUAAAAGGUUUGUGACACACACUUAUGAGAACGAAUGCAAUAAGCUAGGUCUUCGCUUGUACAUUAGUGUGCAAAAAAGCUUUUAUUUGCGCAGGUGCCCAUGUUGCGAGUGCAGUCGUAACGCUUUGGCGUUGGAUCCGAGCCCAUGGAGAAAGUUGGAGCUGUAUGUGUUCGACAAUUCGACAAAGUAUUGCUGUUGUGCUUGUGCGUUUGCCAAGUCAGCCUUCCGAUUUUUGUUGGCUCGAUGGAGACACCUUGUACUUAUUUGCCUUUUGCAUGCAAGUUCUUGGACCAAGUCAUCAAUUCCAUUGCUCUUCCUAUGCCAAGUGGCCAGCAUAUUGGUUGGAAUUGCUACAAUAAAGGUUAUGAUUGACAA